rnacentral:rRNA from 1 species
UGAGGAAUAUUGCGCAAUGGGGGCAACCCUGACGCAGCAACGCCGCGUGGACGAUGAAGGCCUUCGGGUUGUAAAGUCCUUUUCUGAGGGACGAUAAUGACGGUACCUCAGGAAUAAGUCCCGGCUAACUACGUGCCAGCAGCCGCGGUAAAACGUAGGGGGCGAGCGUUAUCCGGAUUUACUGGGCGUAAAGCGCACGUAGGCGGCGCUGUAAGUUGGACGUGAAAGCUCCCGGCUCAACUGGGAGAGGUCGUUCAAUACUGCAGUGCUUGAGGUUGGAAGAGGAGAGUGGAAUUCCCGGUGUAGUGGUGGAAUGCGUAGAUAUCGGGAGGAACACCAGUGGCGAAGGCGGCUUUCUGGUCCACACCUGACGCUGAGGUGCGAAAGCGUGGGGAGCGAACGGG